UUUUUGGUCAAGAGUUUGGAGGAAUGUACUAUGUAGUUUUAACUGUGAGGUCUAUUGUUGUAUCAGCUGGUCUUCUUAGGAUAUUUGGUCGUGAGGUAGCCGAGCUUCCCAUAGUGGCGACAACUAGAGAACACCAAGGGAAAGGCUAUUUCCAAGUAUUAUUUUCAUGUAUAGAGAAGUUGUUGGUUUCCCUGAAUGUGGAAAAC